GCCCAGUGAUGAGACCAUGGCAUCUGUGAGCUGAAUGACUGAGAUAUGCUCUGUGACUGGUGGGUAAUCUUGGCUGAGCAGUGAAGACUGACUGCUUUGCUGUAAGGGCCCACCUACAGUACUGCAAGCAACCAAUCAGCAUUCUUUGUUUCCCAAUGAAAUGGGUCUAGCAAAUUGAUGGGGGCUUGUACAUUCUCUCUCUCUCUCUCUCUCUCUGUCACAUUUCUCUUUAUGGUCAUACAGCUUUGAGCAUGUUCUUUGGUAAUCUGAGGGCA